GAUGAACGCUAGCGAUAGGCUUAACACAUGCAAGUCGAGGGGCAGCACAAGGUAGCUUGCUAUCUGGGUGGCGACCGGCGCACGGGUGCGUAACGCGUAUGCAACUUGCCCUAUACAGGAGGAUAACCCGUCGAAAGACGGACUAAUACUGCGUAUGCUCACAACUUGGCAUCAAGUGGUGAGGAAAGAAAUUCGGUAUAGGAUAGGCAUGCGUCCCAUUAGCUUGUUGGUGAGGUAACGGCUCACCAAGGCAACGAUGGGUAGGGGAACUGAGAGGUUUAUCCCCCACACUGGUACUGAGACACGGACCAGACUCCUACGGGAGGCAGCAGUGAGGAAUAUUGGUCAAUGGGCGCGAGCCUGAACCAGCCAAGUCGCGUGAAGGAUGACUGUCUUAUGGAUUGUAAACUUCUUUUAUAUGGGAAUAACAAGAGUCACGUGUGACUCCCUGCAUGUACCGUAUGAAUAAGCAUCGGCUAACUCCGUG
rnacentral:rRNA from 1 species